rnacentral:rRNA from 1 species
GGGGUGCAGCAGGCGCGAAAACUUUGCAAUAAGCGAAAGCUUGACAGGGCUAUCCCGAGUGCCAUCCGCUGAGGAAGGCUUUUACCCAGUCUAGAACGCUGGGGGAAUAAGGAGAGGGCAAGUCUGGUGUCAGCCGCCGCGGUAAUACCAGCUCUCCGAGUGGUGUGGAUGUUUAUUGGGCCUAAAGCAUCCGUAGCUGGCUAAGUUAGUCCCUUGUUAAAUCCACCGAAUUAAUCGUUGGAUUGCGGGGGAUACUGCUUGGCUAGGGGACGAGAGAGGCAGACGGUAUUUCCGGGGUAGGGGUGAAAUCCUAUAAUCCCGGGAAGACCACCAGUGGCGAAGGCUGUCUGCUAGAACGCGCCCGACGGUGAGGGCUGAAAGCUGGGGGAGCGAACCGGAUUAGAUACCCGGGUAGUCCCAGCUGUAAACGAUGCAGGCUAGGUGUUUGGACGGCCACGUGCCGUUCUAGUGCCGCAGGGAAGCUGUUAAGCCUGCCGCCUGGGGAGUACGAUCGCAAGAUUGAAACUUAAAGGAAUUGGCGGGGGAGCAC